rnacentral:rRNA from 1 species
GUCGAGGGGAAACGGCAUUUAGUGCUUGCACCGAAUGGACGUCGACCGGCGCACGGGUGAGUAACGCGUAUCCAACCUACCCAUUACUGUGGGAUAACCUGCCGAAAGGCAGACUAAUACCGCAUAGUCUUCGAUGACGGCAUCAGAUUUGAAGUAAAGAUUUAUCGGUAAUGGAUGGGGAUGCGUCUGAUUAGCUUGUUGGCGGGGUAACGGCCCACCAAGGCAACGAUCAGUAGGGGUUCUGAGAGGAAGGUCCCCCACAUUGGAACUGAGACACGGUCCAAACUCCUACGGGAGGCAGCAGUGAGGAAUAUUGGUCAAUAGGCGCGAGCCUGAACCAGCCAAGUAGCGUGCAGGAUGACGGCCCUAUGGGUUGUAAACUGCUUUUGUAUGGGGAUAAAGUCAAUCACGUGUGAUUGUUUGCAGGUACCAUACGAAUAAGGACCGGCUAAUUCCGUGCCAGCAGCCGCGGUAAUACGGAAGGUCCGGGCGUUAUCCGGAUUUAUUGGGUUUAAAGGGAGCGUAGGCCGGAGAUUAAGUGUGUUGUGAAAUGUAGACGCUCAACGUCUGACUUGCAGCGCAUACUGGUUUCCUUGAGUACGCACAACGUUGGCGGAAUUCGUCGUGUAGCGGUGAAAUGCUUAGAUAUGACGAAGAACUCCGAUUGCGAAGGCAGCUGACGGGAGCGCAACUGACGCUUAAGCUCGAAGGUGCGGGUAUCGAACAGGAUUAGAUACCCUGGUAGUCCGCACAGUAAACGAUGGAUGCCCGCUGUUGGUACCUGGUAUCAG